UACGAAGGGGGCUAGCGUUGCUCGGAAUUACUGGGCGUAAAGCGCACGUAGGCGGGUUCUUAAGUCGGUGGUGAAAUCCUGGAGCUCAACUCCAGAACUGCCUUCGAAACUGGGAAUCUUGAGUCCGGGAGAGGUGAGUGGAACUGCGAGUGUAGAGGUGAAAUUCGUAGAUAUCGGGAGGAACACCUGUGGCGAAAGCGGCUCACUGGACCACAACUGACGCUGAGGCGCGAAAGCUAGGGGAGCAAACAGG
rnacentral:rRNA from 1 species